rnacentral:rRNA from 1 species
GGUUAAGCGACUAAGCGUACACGGUGGAUGCCCUGGCAGUCAGAGGCGAUGAAGGACGUGCUAAUCUGCGAAAAGCGUCGGUAAGGUGAUAUGAACCGUUAUAACCGGCGAUGUCCGAAUGGGGAAACCCAGUGCAAUUCGUUGCACUAUCGUUAACUGAAUACAUAGGUUAACGAGGCGAACCGGGGGAACUGAAACAUCUAAGUACCCCGAGGAAAAGAAAUCAACCGAGAUUCCCCCAGUAGCGGCGAGCGAACGGGGAGCAGCCCAGAGUCUGAAUCAGCUUGUGUGUUAGUGGAACGGUCUGGAAAGUCCGACGGUACAGGGUGAUAGUCCCGUACACCAAAAUGCACAGGCUGUGAACUCGAAGAGUAGGGCGGGACACGUGGUAUCCUGUCUGAAUAUGGGGGGACCAUCCUCCAAGGCUAAAUACUCCUGACUGACCGAUAGUGAACCAGUACCGUGAGGGAAAGGCGAAAAGAACCCCGGCGAGGGGAGUGAAAAAGAACCUGAAACCGUGUACGUACAAGCAGUGGGAGCACCUUCGGGUGUGACUGCGUACCUUUUGUAUAAUGGGUCAGCGACUUAUAUUCUGUAGCAAGGUUAACCGUAUAGGGGAGCCGCAGGGAAACCGAGUCUUAACUGGGCGUUAAGUUGCAGGGUAUAGACCCGAAACCCGGUGAUCUAGCCAUGGGCAGGUUGAAGGUUGGGUAACACUAACUGGAGGACCGAACCGACUAAUGUUGAAAAAUUAGCGGAUGACUUGUGGCUGGGGGUGAAAGGCCAAUCAAACCGGGAGAUAGCUGGUUCUCCCCGAAAGCUAUUUAGGUAGCGCCUCGUGAAUUCAUCUUCGGGGGUAGAGCACUGUUUCGGCUAGGGGGUCAUCCCGACUUACCAACCCGAUGCAAACUACGAAUACCGAAGAAUGUUAUCACGGGAGACACACGGCGGGUGCUAACGUCCGUCGUGAAGAGGGAAACAACCCAGACCGCCAGCUAAGGUCCCAAAGUCAUGGUUAAGUGGGAAACGAUGUGGGAAGGCACAGACAGCCAGGAUGUUGGCUUAGAAGCAGCCAUCAUUUAAAGAAAGCGUAAUAGCUCACUGGUCGAGUCGGCCUGCGCGGAAGAUGUAACGGGGCUAAACCAUGCACCGAAGCUGCGGCAGCGACACUAUGUGUUGUUGGGUAGGGGAGCGUUCUGUAAGCCUGCGAAGGUGUGCUGUGAGGCAUGCUGGAGGUAUCAGAAGUGCGAAUGCUGACAUAAGUAACGAUAAAGCGGGUGAAAAGCCCGCUCGCCGGAAGACCAAGGGUUCCUGUCCAACGUUAAUCGGGGCAGGGUGAGUCGACCCCUAAGGCGAGGCCGAAAGGCGUAGUCGAUGGGAAACAGGUUAAUAUUCCUGUACUUGGUGUUACUGCGAAGGGGGGACGGAGAAGGCUAUGUUAGCCGGGCGACGGUUGUCCCGGUUUAAGCAUGUAGGCUGGUUAUCCAGGCAAAUCCGGAUAAUCAAGGCUGAGGUGUGAUGACGAGGCACUACGGUGCUGAAGUAACAAAUGCCCUGCUUCCAGGAAAAGCCUCUAAGCAUCAGGUAACAUCAAAUCGUACCCCAAACCGACACAGGUGGUCAGGUAGAGAAUACCAAGGCGCUUGAGAGAACUCGGGUGAAGGAACUAGGCAAAAUGGUGCCGUAACUUCGGGAGAAGGCACGCUGGUGUGUAGGUGAAGCCCCUGCGGGUGGAGCUGAGACCAGUCGAAGAUACCAGCUGGCUGCAACUGUUUAUUAAAAACACAGCACUGUGCAAACACGAAAGUGGACGUAUACGGUGUGACGCCUGCCCGGUGCCGGAAGGUUAAUUGAUGGGGUUAUCCGUAAGGAGAAGCUCUUGAUCGAAGCCCCGGUAAACGGCGGCCGUAACUAUAACGGUCCUAAGGUAGCGAAAUUCCUUGUCGGGUAAGUUCCGACCUGCACGAAUGGCGUAAUGAUGGCCAGGCUGUCUCCACCCGAGACUCAGUGAAAUUGAACUCGCUGUGAAGAUGCAGUGUACCCGCGGCAAGACGGAAAGACCCCGUGAACCUUUACUAUAGCUUGACACUGAACAUUGAGCCUUGAUGUGUAGGAUAGGUGGGAGGCUUUGAAGCGUGGACGCCAGUCUGCGUGGAGCCAACCUUGAAAUACCACCCUUUAAUGUUUGAUGUUCUAACGUUGGCCCCUUAUCGGGGUUGCGGACAGUGUCUGGUGGGUAGUUUGACUGGGGCGGUCUCCUCCCAAAGCGUAACGGAGGAGCACGAAGGUUAGCUAAUCCUGGUCGGACAUCAGGAGGUUAGUGCAAUGGCAUAAGCUAGCUUGACUGCGAGCGUGACGGCGCGAGCAGGUGCGAAAGCAGGUCAUAGUGAUCCGGUGGUUCUGAAUGGAAGGGCCAUCGCUCAACGGAUAAAAGGUACUCCGGGGAUAACAGGCUGAUACCGCCCAAGAGUUCAUAUCGACGGCGGUGUUUGGCACCUCGAUGUCGGCUCAUCACAUCCUGGGGCUGAAGUAGGUCCCAAGGGUAUGGCUGUUCGCCAUUUAAAGUGGUACGCGAGCUGGGUUUAGAACGUCGUGAGACAGUUCGGUCCCUAUCUGCCGUGGGCGCUGGAGAAUUGAGGGGGGCUGCUCCUAGUACGAGAGGACCGGAGUGGACGCAUCACUGGUGUUCGGGUUGUCAUGCCAAUGGCACUGCCCGGUAGCUAAAUGCGGAAGAGAUAAGUGCUGAAAGCAUCUAAGCACGAAACUUGCCCCGAGAUGAGUUCUCCCUGAGACUUUAAGUCUCCUGAAGGAACGUUGAAGACGACGACGUUGAUAGGCCGGGUGUGUAAGCGCAGCGAUGCGUUGAGCUAACCGGUACUAAUGAACCGUGAGGCUUAACCUU